UACGGGGGGGGCAAGCGUUGUUCGGAAUUACUGGCGUAAAGGGCUCGUAGGUGGCCAACUAAGUCAGACGUGAAAUCCCUCGGCUUAACCGGGGAACUGCGUCUGAUACUGGAUGGCUUGAGUUUGGGAGAGGGAUGCGGAAUUCCAGGUGUAGCGGUGAAAUGCGUAGAUAUCUGGAGGAACACCGGUGGCGAAGGCGGCAUCCUGGACCAACACUGACGCUGAGGAGCGAAAGCCAGGGGAGCAAACGGG
rnacentral:rRNA from 1 species